CUUGCGAAAGUAAGACUAAUACCCAAUGAUAUCUCUAGAAGACAUCUGAAAGAGAUUAAAGAUUUAUCGGUGAUGGAUGGGGAUGCGUCUGAUUAGCUUGUUGGCGGGGUAACGGCCCACCAAGGCAACGAUCAGUAGGGGUUCUGAGAGGAAGGUCCCCCACAUUGGAACUGAGACACGGUCCAAACUCCUACGGGAGGCAGUCAGUGAGGAAUAUUGGUCAAUGGACGAGAGUCUGAACCAGCCAAGUAGCGUGCAGGAUGACGGCCCUAUGGGUUGUAAACUGCUUUUAUAAGGGAAUAAAGUGAGCCUCGUGAGGCUUUUUGCAUGUACCUUAUGAAUAAGGACCGGCUAAUUCCGUGCCAGCAGCCGCGGUAAUACGGAAGGUCCGGGCGUUAUCCGGAUUUAUUGGGUUUAAAGGGAGCGUAGGCCGGAGAUUAAGCGUGUUGUGAAAUGUAGACGCUCAACGUCUGCACUGCAGCGCGAACUGGUUUCCUUGAGUACGCACAAAGUGGGCGGAAUUCGUGGUGUAGCGGUGAAAUGCUUAGAUAUCACGAAGAACUCCGAUUGCGAAGGCAGCUCACUGGAGCGCAACUGACGCUGAAGCUCGAAAGUGCGGGUAUCGAACAGGAUUAGAUACCCUGGUAGUCCGCACGGUAAACGAUGGAUGCCCGCUGUUGGUCUGAAUAGGUCAGCGGC
rnacentral:rRNA from 1 species